GAUCAUGGCUCAGAUUGAACGCUGGCGGCAUGCCUUACACAUGCAAGUCGAACGGCAGCAUGGAGGAGCUUGCUCCUCUGAUGGCGAGUGGCGAACGGGUGAGUAAAGCAUCGGAACGUACCGUGUAGUGGGGGAUAACGUAGCGAAAGUUACGCUAAUACCGCAUACGCACUGAGGUGGAAAGCAGGGGAUCGCAAGACCUUGCGCUAUACGAGCGGCCGAUGCCUGAUUAGCUUGUUGGUAAGGUAAGAGCUUACCAAGGCGACGAUCAGUAUCUGGUUUGAGAGGACGAUCAGACACACUGGAACUGAGACACGGUCCAGACUCCUACGGGAGGCAGCAGUGGGGAAUUUUCCGCAAUGGGCGAAAGCCUGACGGAGCAAUACCGCGUGAGGGAAGACUGCCUAUGGGUUGUAAACCUCUUUUUUCAGGGAGGAAUAAAUGACGUGUACCUGAAGAAUAAGCAUCGGCUAACUCCGUG
rnacentral:rRNA from 1 species